rnacentral:tRNA from 1 species
GGUAAGGUGGCUGAAUUUUAGGUGAUAGACUGUAAAUCUAUUUAUGGGUGUUAAUCCCUCUUACCA